rnacentral:rRNA from 1 species
GAUGAACGCUGGCGGCGUGCCUAAUACAUGCAAGUCGAGCGAACGGACGAGAAGCUUGCUUCUCUGAUGUUAGCGGCGGACGGGUGAGUAACACGUGGAUAACCUACCUAUAAGACUGGGAUAACUUCGGGAAACCGGAGCUAAUACCGGAUGAUAUUUUGAACCGCAUGGUUCAAAAGUGAAAGACGGUCUUGCUGUCACUUAUAGAUGGAUCCGCGCUGCAUUAGCUAGUUGGUAAGGUAACGGCUUACCAAGGCAACGAUGCAUAGCCGACCUGAGAGGGUGAUCGGCCACACUGGAACUGAGACACGGUCCAGACUCCUACGGGAGGCAGCAGUAGGGAAUCUUCCGCAAUGGGCGAAAGCCUGACGGAGCAACGCCGCGUGAGUGAUGAAGGUCUUCGGAUCGUAACACUCUGUUAUUAGGGAAGAACAUAUGUGUAAGUAACUGUGCACAUCUUGACGGUACCUAAUCAGAAAGCCACGGCUAACUACGU